CAGAAGUGAUGGGAUCUAUUACUUUCCUGAAUUUCCAGCUGUGCAGGGUGAGCUUUCUAACCCUGAUCUAG
rfam:Phalacrocorax carbo contig66959, whole genome shotgun sequence.